UGCAGUCGAACGGUAACAGAACUAGCUUGCUAGUUGCUGACGAGUGGCGGACGGGUGAGUAAUACUUAGGGAUCUGCCUCUGUGUGGGGGAUAACUAUUGGAAACGAUAGCUAAUACCGCAUAACGUCUACGGACCAAAGAGGGCUUCGGCUCUCGCGCAGAGAGGAACCUAAGCGAGAUUAGCUUGUUGGUGAGGUAAAGGCUCACCAAGGCGACAAUCUCUAGCUGUUCUGAGAGGAAGAUCAGCCACACUGGAACUGAGACACGGUCCAGACUCCUACGGGAGGCAGCAGUGGGGAAUAUUGCACAAUGGGGGCAACCCUGAUGCAGCCAUGCCGCGUGUGUGAAGAAGGCCUUCGGGUUGUAAAGCACUUUCAGUUGUGAGGAAAGGUUAGUAGUUAAUACCUGCUAGCUGUGACGUUAACAACAGAAGAAGCACCGGCUAACUCCGUGCCAGCAGCCGCGGUAAUACGGAGGGUGCGAGCGUUAAUCGGAAUUACUGGGCGUAAAGCGCACGCAGGCGGUCUGUUAAGCUAGAUGUGAAAGCCCCGCGCUCAACGUGGGAGGGUCAUUUAGAACUGGCAGACUAGAGUCUUG
rnacentral:rRNA from 1 species